rnacentral:rRNA from 1 species
UACGUAGGGGGCAAGCGUUGUCCGGAAUCAUUGGGCGUAAAGCGCGUGUAGGCGGUCCGGUAAGUCCGCUGUGAAAGUCGGGGGCUCAACCCUCGGAUGCCGGUGGAUACUGUCGGGCUUGAGUACGGAAGAGGCGAGUGGAAUUCCUGGUGUAGCGGUGAAAUGCGCAGAUAUCAGGAGGAACACCAAUUGCGAAGGCAGCUCGCUGGGACGUUACUGACGCUGAGACGCGAAAGCGUGGGGAGCGAACAGG